AACAUCAGAGGAGAACAGAGGAGGAGAACCCUCCACCUCGGGGUCCCCAACGCUAAUCCAGCAGAACCAUCGUGACCCGAACGUCGGCCCGAGCCCUGGGUCUCACAGAACGUGCAGUUACACAGAAAAACCACCAAAGAAGAUGUCUAGCCAGGCCUGGAUAGUGGAGAAAUCUGGAAAACGAUGAAACAUCUGCAGAAAAGCCGGUUUGCCACGACCUUCGACCUUUAUUCACACAACGGGCACCCUCUUGCCCUGCUACUCUGUAAAGUGCCUUUGUGACAGUUCUGUGUAAAAAGCGCUAUACAAAUAAAAUUCAAUUGAACUGAA